UUUAUUGGCUCAGAUUGAACGCUGGCGGCAGGCCUAACACAUGCAAGUCGAGCGGUAGCACAGGGAGCUUGCUCCUGGGUGACGAGCGGCGGACGGGUGAGUAAUGUCUGGGAAACUGCCUGAUGGAGGGGGAUAACUACUGGAAACGGUAGCUAAUACCGCAUAACGUCUACGGACCAAAGUGGGGGACCUUCGGGCCUCAUGCCAUCAGAUGUGCCCAGAUGGGAUUAGCUAGUAGGUGGGGUAAUGGCUCACCUAGGCGACGAUCCCUAGCUGGUCUGAGAGGAUGACCAGCCACACUGGAACUGAGACACGGUCCAGACUCCUACGGGAGGCAGCAGUGGGGAAUAUUGCACAAUGGGCGCAAGCCUGAUGCAGCCAUGCCGCGUGUGUGAAGAAGGCCUUCGGGUUGUAAAGCACUUUCAGCGAGGGAGGGAAAGGGUUCAGUGUUAAUAAGCACUGUGCAUGAC
rnacentral:rRNA from 1 species